UCGCCCUUACUGAGACACGGCCCAGACUCCUACGGGAGGCAGCAGUGGGGAAUAUUGCACAAUGGGCGAAAGCCUGAUGCAGCGACGCCGCGUGAGGGAUGACGGCCUUCGGGUUGUAAACCUCUUUCAGUAGGGAAGAAGCGAAAGUGACGGUACCUGCAGAAGAAGCGCCGGCUAACUACGUGCCAGCAGCCGCGGUAAUACGUAGGGCGCAAGCGUUAUCCGGAUUUAUUGGGCGUAAAGAGCUCGUAGGCGGUUUGUCGCGUCUGCCGUGAAAGUCCGAGGCUCAACCUCGGAUCUGCGGUGGGUACGGGCAGACUAGAGUGAUGUAGGGGAGACUGGAAUUCCUGGUGUAGCGGUGAAAUGCGCAGAUAUCAGGAGGAACACCGAUGGCGAAGGCAGGUCUCUGGGCAUCUACUGACGCUGAGGAGCGAAAGCAUGGGGAGCGAACAGGAUUAGAUACCCUGGUAGUCCAUGCCGUAAACGUUGGGCACUAGGUGUGGGGAACAUUCCACGUUUUCCGCGCCGUAGCUAACGCAUUAAGUGCCCCGCCUGGGGAGUACGGCCGCAAGGCUAAAACUCAAAGGAAUUGACGGGGGCCCGCACAAGCGGCGGAGCAUGCGGAUUAAUUCGAUGCAACGCGAAGAACCUUACCAAGGCUUGACAUGUUCCAGACCGCCUCAGAGAUGGGGUUUCCCUUCGGGGCUGGUUCACAGGUGGUGCAUGGUUGUCGUCAGCUCGUGUCGUGAGAUGUUGGGUUAAGUCCCGCAACGAGCGCAACCCUCGUUCCAUGUUGCCAGCACGUAAAGGUGGGGACUCAUGGGAGACUGCCGGGGUCAACUCGGAGGAAGGCGGGGGACGACGAAGGGCGAUUC
rnacentral:rRNA from 1 species